rnacentral:rRNA from 1 species
AGUACGGCCCGCAAGGUUGAAACUCAAAGGAAUUGACGGGGACCCGCACAAGCGGUGGAUGAUGUGGUUUAAUUCGAUGCAACGCGAAAAACCUUACCUACCCUUGACAUGUCAAGAAUCUUGCAGAGAUGUGAGAGUGCUCGAAAGAGAACUUGAACACAGGUGCUGCAUGGCCGUCGUCAGCUCGUGUCGUGAGAUGUUGGGUUAAGUCCCGCAACGAGCGCAACCCUUGUCAUUAGUUGCUACGUAAGGGCACUCUAAUGAGACUGCCGGUGACAAACCGGAGGAAGGUGGGGAUGACGUCAGGUCCUCAUGGCCCUUAUGGGUAGGGCUACACACGUCAUACAAUGGCCGGUACAGAGGGCUGCCAACCCGCGAGGGGGAGCUAAUCCCAGAAAACCGGUCGUAGUCCGGAUCGCAGUCUGCAACUCGACUGCGUGAAGUCGGAAUCGCUAGUAAUCGCGGAUCAGCUUGCCGCGGUGAAUACGUUCCCGGGUCUUGUACACACCGCCCGUCACACCAUGGGAGCGGGUUCUGCCAGAAGUAGUUAGCCUAACCGCAAGGAGGGCGAUUACCACGGCAGGGUUCGUGACUGGGGUG